CCAGUCUCUCUGUACUUCCUUCAUUCGAAAUUCAAACUCGAAAGUAGGGGGACUGGUGUUGGGUAUAAAAUACCCUCAGCCGAAGUUCUCAGCAAGAAGCCAACUCCGCCCAGACUCCUACGGGAGCUGGGCUCCGUCGUUGACAUCGACUACAGAACAACUCCGCCCGGACUCCUACGGGAGCCGGACUCUGUCGCCAACUUCAACUACCGAUAAGCUUCGUCCGGACUCCUACGGGAGCUGGACUCCGCCCCU
rnacentral:lncRNA from 1 species